GAAAAACAAAAGAAGCCGCUCCACUAAAUCUCUCGUUACUCUAAAUUACAUGCACAACGAAAAAAAAUAGAGAUAUAGUCGGAGCCCUAGUCCCUAGAAAGAAGAAAAUAUAUUUCUUUAUGGAAACUUUGGUUCCUCCACCUCAGAAGAAAAUGAUGGAUUGGGUUCUUCUUUCGGAAAUGGUGGUUGGAGAUGCGUUUCC